rnacentral:rRNA from 1 species
GAUGAACGCUGGCGGCGUGCUUAACACAUGCAAGUCGAACGGAAAGGCCGAAGCUUGCUUCGGUACUCGAGUGGCGAACGGGUGAGUAACACGUGGGUGAUCUGCCCUGUACUUCGGGAUAAGCUUGGGAAACUGGGUCUAAUACCGGAUAUGACGAUCUCUUGGAUGGGGUUGUGGAAAGCUUUUGCGGGAUGGGAUGAGCUCGCGGCGUAUCAGCGUGUUGGUGGGGUAAUGGCGUACCAAGGCGUCGACGGGUAGCCGGGCUGAGAGGGUGUACGGGCACAUUGUGGGUGUGAUACGGGCCAGACUCUCACGGGGGGGAGCAGUGGGGAAUAUUGCACAAUGGGGGCAAGCGUGAGGUAGCGAAGCCGCGCGGGCGAUGACGGCCUUCUGGUUGUAUACUCCUUUUGCACUCGAGGAGGCCUUUUGGUGACGGUAGGUUGUGAAGAAGCACCGGCUAACUACGUG